rnacentral:rRNA from 1 species
GAGUUUGAUCCUGGCUCAGGAUGAACGCUGGCGGCGUGCUUAAUGCAUGCAAGUCGAACGAGAUCUCACCCUUGGGUAACCUUGGGAGAUGUAUCUAGUGGCGAACGGGUGAGUAACACGUGAGUAACUUGCCCCGAAGACCGGGAUAGCCCAUGGAAACGUGGAGUAAUACCGGAUACCCUCACGGAAUCGCAUGUUUCUGUGAGGAAAUGCUCCGGCGCUUCGGGAUGGCCUCGCGGCCUAUCAGCUUGUUGGUGAGGUAACGGCUCACCAAGGCUCUGACGGGUAGCUGGUCUGAGAGGACGAUCAGCCACACUGGGACUGAGACACGGCCCAGACUCCUACGGGAGGCAGCAGCAGGGAAUAUUGCACAAUGGGCGCAAGCCUGAUGCAGCGACGCCGCGUGAGGGAUGAAGGCUUUCGAGUUGUAAACCUCUUUCAGUGGGGAAGAAGCGCAAGUGACGGUACCCACACAAGAAGGUCCGGCCAACUACGUGCCAGCAGCCGCGGUAAUACGUAGGGACCGAGCGUUAUCCGGAUUUAUUGGGCGUAAAGAGCUCGUAGGCGGCUUGGCAAGUCGGCCGUGAAAGUCCGAGGCUCAACCUCGGAAUGCCGGUCGAAACUGCCAUGGCUAGGGUUCGGUAGAGGAGAGUGGAAUUCUCGGUGUAGCGGUGAAAUGCGCAGAUAUCGAGAGGAAACCAGUAGCGAAGGCGGCUCUCUGGGCCGAUAAAAAACUCAAAGGAAUUGACGGGGCCCCGCACAAGCGGCGGAGCAUGCGGCUUAAUUCGAUGCGACCCGAAGAACCUUACCUGGGUUUGACAUUAUGGGAAAAACUGUAGAGAUACAGUGUGCGUAAGCGUCCAUAACAGGUGGUGCAUGGCUGUCGUCAGCUCGUGUCGUGAGAUGUUGGGUUAAGUCCCGCAACGAGCGCAACCCUCGUUCUAUGUUGCCAGCACGUAAUGGUGGGGACUCAUAGGAGACUGCCGGGGACAACUCGGAGGAAGGUGAGGACGACGUCAAGUCAGCAUGCCCCUUAUAUCCAGGGCUGCACGCAUGCUACAAUGGCCGGUACAACGGGCAGCGACCCCGCGAGGGUGAGCGAAUCCCUUAAAGCCGGUCUCAGUUCGGAUUGAAGUCUGCAACUCGACUUCAUGAAGCCGGAGUCGCUAGUAAUCGUGGAUCAGCAAUGCCGCGGUGAAUACGUUCUCGGGGCUUGUACACACCGCCCGUCACAUCACGAAAGUUGGCAAUGCCCGAAGUCAGUGGUCCAACCCUUUUGGGAGGAAGCUGCCGAAGGUAGGGUCAGCGAUUGGGAUGAAGUCGUAACAAGGUAGCCGUACGGGAACGUGCGGCUGGAUCACCUCCUUUCU